GUGUAUUUUAGUCUAUGAAUGUAGCAUUGGCAGAUCUAAUUCAAAUAAAUAGGCGAGAAUUGUUCCACAGAGUAUUAUAAAGCAGUGCAUUCAACUGACAGUACCACUUUGAAAGGCUAUUUUGCUGAUAUUCACAUUGAUCGAAAUCAAUUAAGUUGUGUGAAUGUCUGCUAAUGAGUUAAUUGCCUUGAAAAGUGCUGCUCUAUAACACACCUUGGAUUGAAUCCUGGUCAGAGCAUCUUUUAAUUGUUUGAUGUUUUUCAGAUGUAAAACUGUGAAUGAUAUGUUUGGAAAAUACAACAUGAAAAAGCACAAUAUUGUGAUUGGUGAGAUGCUGCAUAAUUCUCAGUCUUUCAAACUUAUUGUCUUAUAAAUUCUUUGUUAUGAAGCACAUUCAUUAAAAAGGCUGAUGUAAUUUUGAAAAGCAAAUGGGUAAAAAGCACAAUGUGUAGAGCAAAUUUGAAGAUAAGCACAAUGCAUAAUCCAUAAGUGAACUUUAAAAUAACCCUAUGCUAACCAGUGAACGUCUGAAUGUCUUUCACCUUAGUCUCUAACUUUAGUAACCCCAAUAGAUGCCACAUAACCUGCCUGAACAAAAUGUAAUUACUACAAAAUAAGAGUCAUAACAAAAUAAAAGUAACAGGUUAAUAAUUGUCAUAGGCCUUCAAUGUCAAUCUAGCCAAAGUGAUACAAAUCCACUGGAGGAGUAAGUCGUUACAGUUUACAGUAAUCUAAAUGAAAUGGGUAUUUUUGGGAAAGGGUAUUCUGAAAAUGUUAUUUCAUAGUUAUUUUUUUGUUGGAGUAAUUUGGGAUGUUGUAAUGUCUAGACUACCUGGAUGGAAUAAAAGUCUCAAAGGAGUGUCUUAUUGUGUGUUUUUACUAACAUCUGGAGCCUUCUAAGAAUAUUCCAUUUUCACUUCUCUAUGUAACAAUGUGACAAUUAUAAAUACAAAAUGUUCUGCUUAUUCUCAUUCAAACCUAGACAACCAGAUCCACUGAUUUAUUAGCGCCAUCAAUUGGUCAUUUCUGGAAACAGGAGGCUUUUCCACCACAUUGCACUCGACUACAACCGGGUAGGACAAUGUAUAAACCACUGAAAAAGCUAAUCACAUGGGCUUGGUUAAACAGAAUGGUCCUUUGUGUGAAAAUAAGCACAUGGGUGAUUUCAAAGCAGUUUAUUCCAAGC
ensembl:lncRNA